rnacentral:rRNA from 1 species
UACGUAGGGUCCGAGCGUUGUCCGGAAUUACUGGGCGUAAAGAGCUCGUAGGUGGUUUGUCGCGUUGUUCGUGAAAACUCACAGCUCAACUGUGGGCGUGCGGGCGAUACGGGCAGACUGGAGUACUGCAGGGGAGACUGGAAUUCCUGGUGUAGCGGUGGAAUGCGCAGAUAUCAGGAGGAACACCGGUGGCGAAGGCGGGUCUCUGGGCAGUAACUGACGCUGAGGAGCGAAAGCGUGGGGGGCGAACAGG